rnacentral:rRNA from 1 species
AGAGUUUGAUCCUGGCUCAGAUUGAACGCUGGCGGAAUGCUUUACACAUGCAAGUCGAACGGUAGAGGGGGCAACCCCUUGAGAGUGGCGAACGGGUGAGUAAUAUAUCGGAACGUGCCCAGUCGUGGGGGAUAACGUAGCGAAAGUUACGCUAAUACCGCAUACGAUCUAAGGAUGAAAGCGGGGGACCGUAAGGCCUCGCGCGAUUGGAGCGGCCGAUAUCAGAUUAGGUAGUUGGUGGGGUAAAGGCUCACCAAGCCAACGAUCUGUAGCUGGUCUGAGAGGACGACCAGCCACACUGGAACUGAGACACGGUCCAGACUCCUACGGGAGGCAGCAGUGGGGAAUUUUGGACAAUGGACGCAAGUCUGAUCCAGCCAUUCCGCGUGCAGGAUGAAGGCCCUCGGGUUGUAAACUGCUUUUGUACGGAACGAAAAGGUCUCUCUUAAUACGGGGGGCUCAUGACGGUACCGUAAGAAUAAGCACCGGCUAACUACGUGCCAGCAGCCGCGGUAAUACGUAGGGUGCAAGCGUUAAUCGGAAUUACUGGGCGUAAAGCGUGCGCAGGCGGUUAUGUAAGACAGAGGUGAAAUCCCCGGGCUCAACCUGGGAACUGCCUUUGUGACUGCAUAGCUAGAGUACGGUAGAGGGGGAUGGAAUUCCGCGUGUAGCAGUGAAAUGCGUAGAUAUGCGGAGGAACACCGAUGGCGAAGGCAAUCCCCUGGACCUGUACUGACGCUCAUGCACGAAAGCGUGGGGAGCAAACAGGAUUAGAUACCCUGGUAGUCCACGCCCUAAACGAUGUCAACUGGUUGUUGGGUCUUCACUGACUCAGUAACGAAGCUAACGCGUGAAGUUGACCGCCUGGGGAGUACG